AAUCAUGCUCUAAAUUUUGGCUAUCGCCGAAUUGGGCUCUGAAUCUCGAUCCAUCCAGCAAACUUCUGUAACCUUCUAGAACCCUCUAUUUUUCCCCAGGACUGAGCCGAAGGUCCCUUCCCCUCCAUGUCCGAUGCCCCUCAUCGCCAGACAAAGAGCUUCCCGGUACGACGCCACCGCGCCACGGAACUAACGCGAGCACCUUAUCGGCAUCAUCAAAGAAACUGCAAGCCCGCCCGUCGCCAGCCACCGCCAUGUUCGGCAUCGUCUUCCCGGACCACACCUUCCCCCUCGACGCCACCGCUUUCGCGCAGGUGGCGCCCAAUUCCUGGCUCCUCGAUCUCUCCAGUCUCGCGCUCGCCACCGCGCCGCGCUCCGCAGUCGUUUUCCUGCUCCCCGCCGCCGUGGCAGCGCUGCCGCCCGGCAAGGCCGUCGCCGUCUACUUCCAGGCCGCCACCAACCGCCCCUUCGCAUUCUUAGGCGCGCUUGGGCCCACGCGCCCCUCGGCUAGCUUCCCGCUUCCGGAGGCCGGCGACGAGCCGGAGCCUGCCGUAGGCCCCGCUAAGCUAGGCGUCGCCGUGGAGGACGCGGCCGCGUUGCCGCCGCCCCCUGACGAGCAGCGCGCCGAGCGUGUCGCGCUCCGUGUUGGCGAGAACUUGUUCAACUUCAUGCAAUCGUUCUGCGGUGCCGACGGCGGCAAGCUGGUAGUGCCCACGGACAUCCUGGACCGGUGGUUCCGCAAGUUCCAGGAGCGAGCCAAGAAAGAUCCAGCAUACCUCAAGAGCUUCGACUUUUGAGAAAAAGGGUGAUCGCAGGUUGUUUUGCAGAUACCAUGUGGGAAGAAUGUGUUGGAUAGCAGUGUUUGUGCCACAGCUAGGCCCUCCUAUGCUGCACACAGUGUCACGCCGUGUCCUAGGGGCUGACUAAACCAAGGUGCAUAUGCAGCUUCUCCUAUUAUAGACAAGGACAACGACACCAAAAGCAACCAGAUAGCUUAGAUGGUGGUGCUUUAAGUCCUUGCACCCGAAUGAGAAGUCUUCUUAGCAACUUGUACAAAAAUACUUCGGAUGGUUCUGCUUCGAAUGUCAGUAAUUUGGAUAAUAUCUGGGAACCUCAGGACCCAGAUGAAUCAACUCAUCCUGCUACUGAAGAUCUGGGCACUCAAGUAUCAAAUGAAAAUUGAAGAGUAACCUGAACUGGAUAUCCCUUCUUUUGCAAUUGCAACUCAUCAUGCUACUGAAGACCUGGGCACUAAGUAUCAAAUGAAGAGUAACCUGGAUAUCCAUGUGACGCUUUCAAAGCAUCUCGAUUGACAGCAUGUGUGAACUGAGAUCCAACAUGCAAGACACUCUUUGCUCUGACAAAA